GGUCAUCUGGGCAAUCUGGUUGCAACAUCUGUCACCCCAUUGAUCGCUAGAGUUGAUUCGGCUGAUCUGGCUGGCUAGGCGGGUGUCCUCUUCCUCCCUCACCACUCCAUGUGCAUCCCUCCCGAAGCUGCGUGCUCUGUCAAAGAGGACAACCAUCCCUGAUAGAGGAGGACCAGUCUUCAGUCGAGGGUAUAGGAGUAGCUGCGCUCCCCUGCUAGAACCUCCAAACAAGCUCUCAAGGUCAUUAAAACUCUUAGCUCAAUUAAUAGUACCUAAAGAAUAUUUGCUUGUGCUAAAAAUAAGUUAUGGAGU
rnacentral:sRNA from 1 species